AGAGUUUGAUCAUGGCUCAGAUUGAACGCUGGCGGUAUGCCUAACACAUGCAAGUCGAACGAGGUAGCAAUACCUAGUGGCGGACGGGUGAGGAAUACGUAGGGAUCUGCCCUUAAGUGGGGGAUAACCCGGGGAAACCCGGAUUAAUACCGCAUGAUCUCGCAAGAGCAAAGAGGGGGACCGCAAGGCCUCUCGCUUUUGGAGGAACCUACGUCGGAUUAGCUAGUUGGUGAGGUAAUGGCUCACCAAGGCGACGAUCCGUAACUGGUCUGAGAGGAUGAUCAGUCACACCGGAACUGAGACACGGUCCGGACUCCUACGGGAGGCAGCAGUGGGGAAUAUUGGACAAUGGGCGAAAGCCUGAUCCAGCAAUACCGCGUGUGUGAAGAAGGCCUUCGGGUUGUAAAGCACUUUAAGUUGGGAAGAAAAAGCUUCACCUAAUACGUGAAGCCUUGACGGUACCGACAGAAUAAGCACCGGCUAACUCUGUGCCAGCAGCCGCGGUAAUACAGAGGGUGCUAGCGUUAAUCGGAUUUACUGGGCGUAAAGCGUGCGUAGGUGGUUUGAUAAGUCGAUUGUGAAAGCCCCGGGCUUAACCUGGGAAUUGCGGUCGAUACUGUCAGACUCGAAAACGGUAGAGGGAGGUGGAACUCCAGGUGUAGCGGUGAAAUGCGUAGAUAUCUGGAAGAACACCGAUGGCGAAGGCAGCUUCCUGGGCCUGUUUUGACACUGAGGCACGAAAGCGUGGGUAGCAAACAGGAUUAGAUACCCUGGUAGUCCAA
rnacentral:rRNA from 1 species